UGGGGAAUAUUGGACAAUGGGGGGAACCCUGAUCCAGCCAUGCCGCGUGUGUGAAGAAGGCCUUAUGGUUGUAAAGCACUUUAAGCGAGGAGGAGGGUACUGGUAUUAAUACUACCAGGUACUGGACGUUACUCGCAGAAUAAGCACCGGCUAACUCUGUGCCAGCAGCCGCGGUAAUACAGAGGGUGCGAGCGUUAAUCGGAUUUACUGGGCGUAAAGCGUGCGUAGGCGGCUAAUUGAGUCGGAUGUGAAAUCCCCGAGCUUAACUUGGGAAUUGCAUUCGAUACUGGUUAGCUAGAGUGUUGGAGAGGAUGGUAGAAUUCCAGGUGUAGCGGUGAAAUGCGUAGAAAUCUGGAGGAAUACCGAUGGCGAAGGCAGCCAUCUGGCCUAACACUGACGCUGAGGUACGAAAGCAUGGGGAGCAAACAGG
rnacentral:rRNA from 1 species